GACGAACGCUGGCGGCGUGCUUAACACAUGCAAGUCGAACGGAAAGGCCCUGCUUUUGUGGGGUGCUCGAGUGGCGAACGGGUGAGUAACACGUGAGUAACCUGCCCUUGACUUUGGGAUAACUUCAGGAAACUGGGGCUACUACCGGAUAGGAGCUCCUGCUGCAUGGUGGGGGUUGGAAAGUUUCGGCGGGUGGGGAUGGACUCGCGGCUUAUCAGCUUGUUGGUGGGGUAGUGGCUUACCAAGGCUUUGACGGGUAGCCGGCCUGAGAGGGUGACCGGCCACAUUGGAACGGAGAUGCGGCCCAGACUCCUACGGGAGGCAGCAGUGGGGAAUAUUGCACAAUGGGCGGAAGGCUGGUGCAGCAACGCCGCGUGCGGGAUGACGGCCUUCGGGUUGUAAACCGCUUUCGCCUGUGACGAAGCGUGAGUGACGAUAAUGGGUAAAGAAGCACCGGCUAACUACGUG
rnacentral:rRNA from 1 species